UACGUAGGGUGCAAGCGUUGUCCGGAAUUAUUGGGCGUAAAGAGCUCGUAGGCGGUUUGUUGCGUCGGCUGUGAAAACCUGAGGCUCAACCUCAGGCCUGCAGUCGGUACGAGCAGACUAGAGUGUUGCAGGGGAGACUGGAAUUCCUGGUGUAGCGGUGAAAUGCGCAGAUAUCGGGAGGAACACCAGUAGCGAAGGCGGCACUCUGGGCCGUGACUGACGCUGAGGAGCGAAAGCGUGGGUAGCAAACAGG
rnacentral:rRNA from 1 species